UACGUAGGGGGCUAGCGUUGUCCGGAAUCAUUGGGCGUAAAGCGCGUGUAGGCGGCCCGGUAAGUCCGCUGUGAAAGUCGGGGGCUCAACCCUCGAAAGCCGGUGGAUACUGUCGGGCUAGAGUACGGAAGAGGCGAGUGGAAUUCCUGGUGUAGCGGUGAAAUGCGCAGAUAUCAGGAGGAACACCCAUUGCGAAGGCAGCUCGCUGGGACGUUACUGACGCUGAGACGUGAAAGCGUGGGGAGCAAACAGG
rnacentral:rRNA from 1 species